rnacentral:rRNA from 1 species
ACGAGAAGACCCCAUGGAGCUUUAAACCCGACAGCACCCACUUAUUUAACACCUUCUUAUCCGCCUGGCCCCUGUCUGCUCGGUUUUGGGUUGGGGUGACCGCGGAGCAUAAAAUAGCCUCCACGAAAGAAGGGAUGAUUCCCUCAUUUUAGAACUACACUUCCAAAGACUAACAAAUUAAUUUUAAGUGAUCCGAUACCCGUAUUCGAUCAACGAACCAAGUUACCCUGGGGAUAACAGCGCAAUCUACCUCAAGAGCCCCUAUCGACAGGUGGGUUUACGACCUCGAUGUUGGAUCAGGGUAUCCCAGUGGUGCAGCAGCUACCAAAGGUUCGUUUGUUCAACGAUUAAAACCCU